GAUCAAAGUGUAGUAUCUGUUCUUAUCAGCUUAAUAUCUGAUACGCCCCCCAUCGGGGGGCUUUGAUAUUAAACUGAUUUUUGGCACUCGGCCAAGGUUCAGGGGCUUGCUCCGACUUGGCCAC
rnacentral:snRNA from 1 species